CUGUGAUUGCUAACCGCAAACAUUCGUCAAUUCAACGUAAAACCCUAUGCAUGUUUUGACAGAAGAUCUUCACCAUGUCAUCAUCAUAUGGGAGAGAGAAGCUCUUCAUCACCGCCAUCAUCGGAACCCAAGGAACGCUGCAGCAGGGAAAUAUAUCAUCUUUGAGCGACAUGAAAUGGAGAGCUUAGGAAGACCUCUUGAGCGACAUGAAAUGGACAGCCAACGCUUCCUUCAUAUAGGGGGUAGCACUACAAAAAAAUAUGAUUAAAAUGGCAUUAAUAUUAAGGCAUUGUUACUUAACUGCCGUAUUGUUGGUUCAUUUUAACAUUUUUCUCUUAUGCUAUAAUAUUCUUGCUAAAAGCGCUACAUUUUGGCGUUUAUACCCGCCACUGCAAUUGUUUUAAUGUUUUUUUAGUUUUUUUUUUAUAAAACUAUAAGAGAAUAUGAGAGUAAAAGCAAGUGAUGCUUUUCAUCAUCAUACGUGAGUGAGAGUAUACGAAACCCUAACAAUUGCGGUUGUUCAUGUCCACACGACGAAGCCAUUAUUGUUGAUCUAGUUUUCUAGUUCAGAUCUGAGGGUUUGCGUCGCGAUUCAUCUUCACACUACUGCAAGUGACAUUGUUAUUGCUGCGUACGAUUAAACUUCUGUGAUCUGGUUCUUCAACUUUGAUCCGAAGUUUGCCACCGCCACAAGCGGCGCCGUUGUUGCUGGCUUCCAAUUGUGCUUCUGCGAUUUGGUUUUGCUAUUUUGUGAAUUAUUAAUUACCAAUUUGAUCUACUUUAUCUUUUGAUUUUUCCUUCUUCUUCAUACUUUUAGAUCUAGUUCAUGCUCUAAUAGGAAGAAACAGAGAACGCCUGUUCUUUUUCCUUGUGUAUUUUUACUUUGAUUGAUCUUCUGCGUUAAUAAUUUCAGAGAAUAAUGGAGGUUGAUACGCUCUCUGCUUUUGAACCAUUCUCCUUUGGAGAUUUUCGAUUAACGACCUCCUCAGAUUACUCGCAACUCUCUCCCAAUGUCGAUCCUCACGCGCCUUCACGCGCUGCUCUCAGAGUUCAGAAGGUUUACUGCAGCUACCGUACUCGCUGCCGCUUAGCCGAUUCCGCCGUCGUCGCCGAAGAGCUCUGGUGCGGUGGUGCCUCCUCAACCUCAAUCUAUAACUUCUCAAUUUUCAUUCCUUCAUGCAACUCAUUCUCAAACCUCUUAAAAAAUCAAAUUUUUUAUUUUAAUUAUUAUUAUUUUUGUUUGAAUUUUCAUUCCUUCAAUUUGCCUGAAAGCGCUGCUUCUCGCUGGAGCCGUGUUCGUCUCAAUGCUUCCAAGGUGGGUAAAGGUUUGUCCUUAGAUGCCCAAGCUCAAAAGUUGGCUUUUCAGCAUUGGAUUGAAGCUGAAUUGAUCCACGCCAUCGUUAUGGACACAACUUGCAUUACUAUUACGAAGAAUGGUGUAAAACGGAUUCUAGUCAACCAUUCUUCUAUUGGGUUGUUUCCUGGAUCAUCGUUGGAUAUUAGAAGCCUCCACUUGGACUCCAAACAUUUGUGUCAGAUAACAUUGAACUUGCCUGUUAAUGCAUUUGCUUCCAAAAUUGCCAUGUGGAUAAUAGUACUUAGCCCCUUCACCAAAUAUGCUUUGACCAUGAACCCGCUUGCAAGGAGUCUAGAGGAGUUUCUGCCCCAUAGAAUUUCAAGUACCACUUGGUGUUUCAUGCUGCUCAGAACAAUAUUGGUUAUGGCUACACAUUUAACUGGUUUUCUCAUUCCUUAUUAUGGACUUGUGAUGGCUUUAAUUGGUUCUCUCCUCAGUACACUUGUGGCCUUGAUAUUGCCAGCUUUAUGUUUUUUGAGAAUUGUGGGGAAAAGAGCAACAAGUACACAUGUAUUAUUGUAUCUGAUCAUUUGAAGUUAUAAUUGUUUUUUCAACUGUGGCUAUCUUAUGAGAAGUUUAUGGUUAUUGAAUCUUACCUUCACCAGGGUAUCUGGUUAAAACGUCAUUAAUAUUAAGGUGGUUUUGUAAAAAUGCCACAAUAUUCAUAGAUUAAGGCAGCUUAUGUCACUGCCAUAAUAUAUUUGUAAAUUAGGACAUUUUGAGUGAUUUUGGCCCGUUGUAGAAGAAAGCCCAACCUAAACCUAAUUGCGACUAGAAGAGUAGAGCGUGAGCAACGAGCUUCUCCUCUAGUGGCUUCUUCUCCUCUAUUCUUGUGAGCUUCUAUGCCAUUGAUGCGAGCUUCUCCUCCAUCAAGCUUCUACGUUCUAUGUUGUAAGCAUGCAUCUGUUUCAGGUUUUCUUAAUCAAUACUAUGUGAUCAUGUUUGGAAUUAAUGUAGAUGAGGGCUAAAAGGGCUAUUGUUGCUAUGCUUACAAGUAUUGUUUUAUAUUAUGUCCAUUUUUAUGCUGACUUUUUUCUUUCUGCCAAUUCAUUGAUUUUGUACCCGAGCUCUAUUGUUUGAAUUUGUAUUACUAGAAUGGGGGUGAGCCCGAAGAGAAGAAAGUGUGUGGCCGGCCUAGGAAAGCAGCUUCACAGUGCAAUACUAUGAGGGCCAAAAGGGCAGUUGUUGCUAUGCUUGCAAGAU